GACGUAGGGCGCGAGCGUUGUCCGGAUUUAUUGGGCGUAAAGAGCUCGUAGGCGGCUUGUUGCGUCGACUGUGAAAACCCGCAGCUUAACUGCGGGCCUGCAGUUGAUACGGGCAGACUAGAGUGUGGUAGGGGAGAUCGGAAUUCCUGGUGUAGCGGUGAAAUGCGCAGAUAUCAGGAGGAACACCGGUGGCGAAGGCGGCAUCCUGGACCGAGAUUGACGCUGAUGCGCGAAAGCCAGGGGAGCAAACGGG
rnacentral:rRNA from 1 species